UACGUAGGGAGCAAGCGUUGUCCGGAAUCACUGGGCGUAAAGGGCGCGUAGGCGGCCUGAUAAGUAGGGGGUGAAAUCCUGCGGCUUAACCGCAGGGCUGCCUUCUAAACUGUCAGGCUCGAGCACAGUAGAGGCAGGUGGAAUUCCCGGUGUAGCGGUGGAAUGCGUAGAGAUCGGGAAGAACAUCAGUGGCGAAGGCGGCCUGCUGGGCUGUUGCUGACGCUGAGGCGCGACAGCGUGGGGAGCAAACAGGG
rnacentral:rRNA from 1 species